AAUUUAAGGAAGAAUUUAAAAAAGGAAUCUCUUCAAUUAUGUAAUAAAUUGUCUCGAGAUUUCCACCAGAAAUCUCACAAACGAAGUGAUACAGUUUCUGGGAAAACGAAUCAAGGGACGUUGUAAGCGGGUGCAGAAUUGGCAAGAAAGAAGAAGAAAGGCAGCACGGAAUGUAAUAUCCAAUGGAUGGGUAAUAAAAAUUGACACGCGAGCGUCUGGGACGGUUUCUAUCCUGUUUUAUGGUUCAAUUCGACGAUGGUCGUAUACCACCUCGUGGCUGUUCGCGGUUCUGUGGCUGCGUGACGUUUACUACUACCACGCUGACACACAGUCGUUGACAUAAAUCAUCCUCGAGUUGACCCCUUUUUAAUCGCCAUUACACAACGUGCACGAGAAAACGCCUGAUGAAACCGCAACGUUUCACGUUCCAUAUGGCGGCUCUGCGAAGACACCUUCAGCUUUGGAAGUUCGGAGAUUAGAAAUCUAGGAAAUUUGGGAUCUUGAAAUUCUGGAAAUUCGAGAGAUUGAGAAUUGUAAUUUGGAAGAAUAUGCAAUAAUUUCCUGUUACCUGAAUGUGCACCCUCACCGCCCACAAGCUUCACGGCGCCCUCCUGUUUCUUCAAUUUCCGGAAGUCCUUGCGCAGCUUCUUCACCAUACGCGCCUUCUUCUCCCGAAUCUUGUCCCAGGUGCUAUUAAACCCAAGACACACAUCUGGCAAAAUUAACAUAGUCAAGAACCCAAGAAAAAUGAACCUUCUCCACUUCAUCAUCGACCCCGGUCACUCAACCACUAACAUAAUCUAAGUAUCACGAGAGACUGGUUACGUUGAUCACGCGAUGGAAUAUCCAAUCUUUGCUCCAGCUGGAAGGCGAGAGCGAUCUCGAAGAGUUACGCGUCUACAGUGGAACACUUUGGACGAUCAGCACAUGGUAGAUCGCUUUUUCUAGCCUCCCUUCCUUUUCCUUCUCGACGUGGGAUCCGAUGGAUCCAUUCGACAGCUUACGUUGAGUCAGUCUGAUGGAAUUGGCAGAUUUCCUCCAUUUCAUUGAUUCAGAUGUUACAAGGACUUUUAGCGAGAUUAAUUUAAUAUACGGACUCCAUUUAUAGCUGCUGAUCAUUCUGUUAAUUGCGGAAGAGGACUUGAUUCAGCGACUCAACUAUAAUUUUUCAAUAUUCUUUUACGUUGCUGAAGUUUACUUCUGACAAGAUCCCUCUUCGACUCAAACGUUCCAGGAUGAUGAAGCUUUCAGGAUUUUUCGAAUUCCUUCCAAAGUUUUGAGUGUUUACUAUCGUUUAUCAUGUUACAUGGUCCAUCGACUGUAUUUAGUCGAAAGAUAAGGCCUGUAAACACCUCAUACAUUGUACCCGAUGAUUCAAAAAGCGAGCACGGGGUUUUUUCUCGGACGAAUCCAACAUCUCGAGUAUCAUCCGUCAGCGGCGAGCAAGGCAAUUCGAUCUGAAGAAAAAGAUCCGAAGCUUAGAAGAAAGCCAUGGUGGCCUGUGGAGUGUGGUUCUCGUUACUCGAUACACCGGUCUCCUAUCGUUUGCAUAAUCGUGGGUCACCGAUCGUUUAUACUGUGGACGCGGUCAAAAAUUGCUAGCCUUAUUAUCAGAUUUCCAAUAAUCAAAUGUUUGUGAACUAUGAAUGAAUUUAACUAUUAAUGAAAUCUUAAUGAGAUGUUCAGAAAAUACUAAUGAGAUGCUCCAGACUAGGAUAAUCGAGAGGUAACAACGUGUAAGAUAUUGAAGAAAGAAGAGGUUGAAUAUCAUAGAUAGGUCGGAUGGUUGGCUUCGCUCAAACUUUU
rnacentral:lncRNA from 1 species